AGCAGCCGCGGUAAUUCCAGCUCCAAUAGCGUAUAUUAAAGUUGUUGCAGUUAAAAAGCUCGUAGUUGAAUUUCGGGGUCAGUAGGUUGGUCGUGCCACCGGUACGUACUGGUCUCACUGAUUCCUCCUUCCUGAUGAGCUGUAAUGCCAUUAAUUUGGUGUUGCAGGGAAUCUGGACUGUUACUUUGAAAAAAUUAGAGUGUUUAAAGCAGGCUAACGCUUGAAUACAUUAGCAUGGAAUAAUGAAAUAGGACGUUCGAUCCUAUUUUGUUGGUUUCUAGGAUUGACGUAAUGAUUAAUAGGGAUAGUUGGGGGCAUUAGUAUUCAAUUGUCAGAGGUGAAAUUCUUGGAUUUAUUGAAGACUAACUACUGCGAAAGCAUUUGCCAAGGAUGUUUUCAUUAAUCAAGAACGAAAGUUAGGGGAUCGAAGACGAUCAGAUACCGUCGUAGUCUUAACCAUAAACUAUGCCGACUAGGG
rnacentral:rRNA from 1 species